CGGUGAUCUCGGAGCACACGACGAGGACGCGAGCCCCCUUGUUGUUCUCAGCAAGAUCCUUGGCGAUGCGGAGGACCAGGCCAGCGCCGUAGCAGCCCACCUGGUACAUCAUGUACCGCUUGACGGUGGGGCGGAGGCCCAGGAGCUUGGUGAGCUGGUAGUCGCAGCCCGGCAUGUCGACACCGCUGGUGGUGCAGAACACCAGGUGGGUGAUCUUCGACUUGGGCUGCCCCCAUUCCUUCAGGGCGUUCGCCGCCGCCUCCUUCGCCAGCUUCGGCACUUCCGACACCAGGAUGUCCUGCCGGGCAUCCAAGAGGGUUCCGUGAAUGAACUCAUGCUCGGGUGCUCUUUCAA
rnacentral:lncRNA from 1 species